rnacentral:rRNA from 1 species
CCUACGGGAGGCAGCAGUGAGGAAUAUUGGUCAAUGGCCGGGAGGCUGAACCAGCCAAGUCGCGUGAGGGAUGACGGCACUACGUGUUGUAAACCUCUUUUGUCAGGGAACAAGGGGCAGGUCGUGUCCCCGGUUGAGAGUACCUGAAGAAAAAGCAUCGGCUAACUCCGUGCCAGCAGCCGCGGUAAUACGGAGGAUGCGAGCGUUAUCCGGAUUUAUUGGGUUUAAAGGGUGCGCAGGCGGUCGGUCAAGUCAGCGGUAAAAGCUCGGGGCUCAACCCCGAUCCGCCGUUGAAACUGGGAGUCUCGAGUGGGCGAAAGGUAGGCGGAAUGCGUGGUGUAGCGGUGAAAUGCAUAGAUAUCACGCAGAACUCCGAUUGCGAAGGCAGCCUACCGGCUCGACACUGACGCUGAUGCACGAAAGCGUGGGUAUCGAACAGGAUUAGAUACCCUAGUAGUC